rnacentral:misc_RNA from 1 species
ACAUUUGCACUGUUAACAUAGUUGUAGGCUGUUGAAAGGAGAUCUGUCAGAAACGAUGGUUGGAUUAAGACUAAUUCUCAGUUGCAUUGUGCAAAAUUUCGGAUCGAUAAACGACUAUUAUAAUGAUGAGCCAUAAGCCAUAAUAUUUUAAGUAACUUUAAAACUGUUUGAAGUCUAUACGCAUCGAAUCGUCGACAAUUUGUAUAUUUUAUAAACUUUUUGACAUUACGUGGAAAAAACUUUCUUCACUGUAACUGUAAAGCCUAAGAUAGAAACGCACUCGACUUUAUUGUUUCUAAAAAUGGCUAAAAGUAAAAUGUCUGACUAUAGAUCGCUGUAUAAAUUGACAAAGAGACUCGGAACAGUAGUAGGAGUUUGGCCGUAUGAAAGCCCAAGUAUUUUAUAUCUUCUUGUGCCGUAUAUACCGAUGACACUGCAUUUAAUAAUAUCGCUCUUGGUAUUUUCGUGGGUCCGCGAGAAAUUUCCAAACAUUGGUCUCGUUUCAAAAGGCCUGAGCAUUUCCACUAGCUUUGUGACCACCAUUCUGAAGAUAGCGAGCAUGAAAAUAAACCACAAAGAAUUGACGGAAUUACACCGACAUCUUCAUCCGUACUUUAGAAAAUUGCUGAAGGAUUCAAGGCUGUCGAACAUCGUUUUAAAGGACGUUAACGUGUUUAAGCUUGUAUCAUGGUCAUUGACUAUUUGUGUUGCCACUUGCUUGGGGUCUUACAUUCUUCUUCCUCUGAGCUUCGUCAUAAAAGCUUCUGUUCAUCAUAUAGAAGUCGCCAAGUACCCGCUUAUAUAUCCAUGCAACUAUCCGUGGAAGAUAACGUCCAAUGGAAUUGUUUACCAACUUCAUUUUAUUUUUGAAACUUGCUCGGGGUUGGCGAUGUUUUUCGUGUCCACUAGUGUUGACAUAUUGUUUCCGUUUUAUAUCUUUCAAAUGAUUGCACAAUUUCGUAAAAUUUCUUAUGAUAUUACGCACAUCAAAAGUGAUGAUAAGGAUGAUGAAGAUAAUAAUGAGUAUAAUAAAGUCAUAGAAAAAUGUGUUGCGCAGUACGAAAGAUUGAUGAGAUGCAGAGACAUUUUGGAAAAAAUUUGGGGCCCUAUAAUACUAUUUAGUGUUACUACUAACGCUAUUGUUCUUUGCACAGUUCUUUUUCAAAUUUCAAAGAUGAGAAGUGUAACUAUUGUUCAAGGGUCAUUAUUGGUUGCAUACGUAGGUUUGAAAUUGGGACAAACCUUCAUUUAUGCUUGGAGUGGCUCUUGUUUAAUUGAAGAGUUUACAGAGAUGCAGUUUAUGCUGCGAAUUGGUACGGAAAAAAACGACUGAUGACUUCUAUUGUGAUGCUCCUGACCCAAAGGCCUUUAUCAUUAACCGCUUGUAAUUUUUCAGUUGUUUCUGUGAAAAUUUUCAUCACAUUUUUGAACACAGCAGUAUCUUACUUCUUUCUUUUGCAAACACUUGAUGAUAAGGAAUAAGUAUUGAUUUAAAAAUCGACCAAUAGCAAAG